rnacentral:rRNA from 1 species
CAGUCGUACUAACGGGGAAUCAACCUUUUGAGGGUGGACUUGUGGGAUUCAGAGAGCCUUUGUUUUUCACAACCUGCUUUUUUUGGGUGCAAUUUCUCGUAUUGUAGGUCAGCAUCGGUUUCGACCGUUAUAAAAUGGCUGGAGGAAUGUAGCUUCGAUCUCGUAUUGAAGUGUUAUAGCCUUUGGUAGAUGUAACGGAUGGGAUCGAGGAUUGCAAUGAAUACCCUUUAUGGGCUAUCCGUCUGGCCUCUGACAUGUCACUCUGGUGCUGAAAGCUUGCUUAUGGUAUUAUAGUGUACGGUCAAAAGGUUAGAACGGAUUGAA